CCCGCGCUCGCCCCAAGGCGCGGCUGCGGGGCGUGGGUACCUGCGCCCGCGCCACGGCGGCGUCUUCUGCCCCGGGGUCCUCGCAGGAAUUCCUCAGCCCCGGCCCCGACUCAGAAAGUGCGGCUCUCACGGCGAGCGAGCGGGAAACAGCCCAAAGUCCAGUACUUAAAGCAUGCUAUAUAGCACAUCUCAAUCUACAAAGACCAGAAUGACCCAAAUUAUAUGCUGGCCAAUUUGCUGGUGGAACAAAUCAAAGCUGACCAAUGACUGGUGAAUGGAGAAAGUGUUUACCUUUUGGCAAUUUGCUCUGGGGUUUAAAUAAAGUCCUGGCUGCUGUUAAUAAGAAAGCAGAUAUCUGAGAUUGUUUGAUGUGAUGUAGACCUUGAAAGAUGAGUCAAGAAGGACACUACAGGCAGAGAGGGAGCAGGAAGGUCAAGAAGAAGAUAUUAUGCUCAGAACACGUGGAUUGCCAGAGAGAAGAGCAUAUAGAAGAAACUGUGAAGAGUAAGGCCACAGACAAAGGUUGUGACCAGACGAGAAAGGCCCUUUUUUAAAAUGCUAAAAUAUUGAGAUUAUCUGUUGGGGGAAAACUGAAAUGAACGUAUUUUCAAGCUGUGGAAUGAGUUAAACAUUAAAUCUGUUAGGAUUGUGAAAUAAAAAGUCAUAAAUAAAACAAAA